rnacentral:tRNA from 1 species
GAGGCUUAUAGUUUAAUUGGUUGAAAAGUACUAAUUAUAACGGUAAUAUUGAAGGUUCGAACCCUGCUAAACCUACG